UAAAUAAAUGAGCUUGCAGUCAUCACUAUGAAGCUGCUUAGUCAGAGUGGAUACAUCUGAUUUUGCUUAUUCUAUAGAACGUCUGAUUUUGCUUAUUCUAUAGAAAUGCUCUUGGGCUUCUCUCCUUCCUUUAAAGGUGUUACACUUACAGCACUGUGCCUCAAGCACCGUUUAUUGAAUUUCAUACUAGAACAAGUGAGAGCAUGCUAAUGAACCUGUGCUUGGUGCUUUUCUCUUUAUAUAUGUGCUCUUCCCUGCAGCUAACUAUUCAGUGCGUUUGCCACAGCUGGCAGUGGAAGGAGCACCCAAUGCUGUGGGCGUUCCUUCGCAUGCUUGGCCAGGUAAAUUCUGUUGGCGUCCUGAUCUCUCUGUGCGAUGAGGCUACACACUGUCUCUGGAGGACAGCUACCCUUGGACAAUCACUAUCCUGGGACUUCUUAUCAGCAAAAAUCCUAUAAGUAAUGUGAGCUUUGAAAGGAACUCUUUUAAAGAGCCUCCAACAGUAUGAGCAAGCAGACUAACGUUUGCCUUUCCAAUCAUGUACAUUCGGAGAGUACAAGGA
rnacentral:lncRNA from 1 species